UGCAAAGUGGUGUACAGUAGUAGCCACGUUCCUGGCUCUGAGUAAGAAGUCAUGAGAGUAUAUGUAAAGGGCCCACCACCCAGCUACUCACAGUAGAUGCUCAAGAGACAAGAACAACCCUAUCAUUAUAUGAAGUUCAAUGCAACUCAUCUGAUUCCCCUUCCAGUGGCUGGAGAGCAUCCCACCUUCUGACCCUUGGGGAGAAGCAGAGUGUGCCCUUUCCCUGCCCACUGGAUACGCUGAAACAACACGAACUCCCUUCCCUGGCCUCCCUGCAGUGGAUCUAAACUGCAUCCCUGAAUUAUUACAGUCUACCUUAAGGUUA